AAGGAAUAUUGGUCAAUGGACGCAAGUCUGAACCAGCCAUGCAGCGUGAAGGAUGAAGGUCCUCUGGAUUGUAAACUUCUUUUAUCUGGGACGAAAACGGGAUUUUUGUCUCAAUUGACGGUACCAGAGGAAUAAGCACCGGCUAACUCCGUGCCAGCAGCCGCGGUAAUACGGAGGGUGCGAGCGUUAUCCGGAUUUACUGGGUUAAAGGGUGCGUAGGUGGGUAUGUAAGUCAGUGGUGAAAUCCCCGAGCUUAACUUGGGAACUGCCGUUGAUACUAUAUAUCUUGAAUAUCGUAGAGGUAAGCGGAAUAUGUCAUGUAGCGGUGAAAUGCUUAGAGAUGACAUAGAACAACAAUUGCGAAGGCAGCCUACUAUGCGAUUAUUGACACUGAGGCACGAAAGCGUGG
rnacentral:rRNA from 1 species